rnacentral:rRNA from 1 species
GUUUGAUCCUGGCUCAGGACGAACGCUGGCGGCGUGCCUAACACAUGCAAGUCGAACGGAGUUGAAAGGAGCUUGCUUUUUUCAACUCAGUGGCGGACGGGUGAGUAACGCGUGAGUAACCUGCCUUUCAGAGGGGGAUAACGUUCUGAAAAGAACGCUAAUACCGCAUAAGAUUGUAGUUUCGCAUGGAGCAGCAAUCAAAGGAGCAAUCCGCUGAAAGAUGGACUCGCGUCCGAUUAGAUAGUUGGCGGGGUAACGGCCCACCAAGUCGACGAUCGGUAGCCGGACUGAGAGGUUGAUCGGCCACAUUGGGACUGAGACACGGCCCAGACUCCUACGGGAGGCAGCAGUGAGGGAUAUUGGGCAAUGGGGGAAACCCUGACCCAGCAACGCCGCGUGAGGGAUGACGGUUUUCGGAUUGUAAACCUCUGUCCUCUGUGAAGAUAGUGACGGUAGCAGAGGAGGAAGCUCCGGCUAACUACGUGCCAGCAGCCGCGGUAAUACGUAGGGAGCAAGCGUUGUCCGGAUUUACUGGGUGUAAAGGGUGCGUAGGCGGAUUGGCAAGUCAGAAGUGAAAUCCAUGGGCUUAACCCAUGAACUGCUUUUGAAACU